GAGUUUGAUCAUGGCUCAGGAUGAACGCUAGCGGCAGGCUUAAUACAUGCAAGUCGAGGGGCAGCAUGGUUGUAGCAAUACAACUGAUGGCGACCGGCAAACGGGUGCGGAACACGUACACAACCUUCCUUCGAGCGGGGAAUAGCCCAGAGAAAUUUGGAUUAAUACCCCAUAGCAUAUUGAAGAGGCAUCUCUUUAAUAUUAAAGAUUUAUCACUUUGAAGAUGGGUGUGCGGCUGAUUAGGUAGUUGGCGGGUAACGGCCACCAAGCCUGCGAUCAGUAACUGGUGUGAGAGCACGACCAGUCACACGGGCACUGAGACACGGGCCGAUCCUACGGGAGCAGCAGUAGAUAUGGUCAAUGGACGCAAGUCUGAACCAGCCAUGCCGCGUGGAGGAUGAAGGUCCUCUGGAUUGUAAACUUC
rnacentral:rRNA from 1 species